rnacentral:lncRNA from 1 species
UUCCCAGUUGGUGAUGGUGGAGAGGGGGGCGAUGACGAGGAAAGGCCCCCGGAUGCCCACGUUGGAUACCUCCUGCAGGAAGGCGAUGGACUGGAUGGUUUUCCCCAAACCCAUCUCGUCGGCCAGGAUGCAGUUUUGCCUGUUGUACCAGUUGAACAGCAACCAGUUGACCCCUUCCAGUUGGUACUCGCGGAGCUGGUUGUGG